UUCUCGUGUGUAUGCUUCGGUGGUUGCU
rnacentral:sRNA from 1 species